rnacentral:rRNA from 1 species
GAUGAACGCUGGCGGCGUGCCUAAUACAUGCAAGUCGAGCGAACGGACGAGCAGCUUGCUUCUCUGAUGUUAGCGGCGGACGGGUGAGUAACACGUGGAUAACCUACCUAUAAGACUGGGAUAACUUCGGGAAACCGUAGCUAAUACCGGAUAAUAUUUUGAACCGCAUGGUUCAAAAGUGAAAGACGGUCUUGCUGUCACUUAUAGAUGGAUCCGCGCUGCAUUAGCUAGUUGGUAAGGUAACGGCUUACCAAGGCAACGAUGCAUAGCCGACCUGAGAGGGUGAUCGGCCACACUGGAACUGAGACACGGUCCAGACUCCUACGGGAGGCAGCAGUAGGGAAUCUUCCACAAUGGGCGAAAGCCUGACGGAGCAACGCCGCGUGAGUGAUGAAGGUCUUCGGAUCGUAAAACACUGUUAUUAGGAAAGAACAUAUGUGUAAGUAACUGUGCACAUCUUGACGGUACCUAAUCAGAAAGCCACGGCUAACUACGUG